rnacentral:lncRNA from 1 species
GGUUUGGAGUUUGGGUUUGAUAUUUUGAUACUUUUCCUUCUUUGUCAUGUUCCUCUCUUUGUUAAGAUAUUAGCUUUUUCUUUCUUUCAUUUGCAGUCUAUUUUUUUUUUCUUGGGAGGGUUAGCUGUGUGUGUUGUCGUUAUUGUUGUUUGCUGUUGCUGACUUGUCGGCAGAUAGCAACAACCAUCAGUGGGAGAAUGGACCCCUUGGGCUGGGUUUUGGUUUAUUUGUCUCUGUGGUUCUUUCUUACUUCUAAAUUCUAAUUUGUAGAACAAUGAAGGAGGACUAUGAUAGUUGUGAUAAUCUUAACUAUCAGUUUGAAUUUUUCUGCAUUUGUUUAUCUCUGUGAUUUUAUUUUAGUGAGUGGAAUGUCUGUGUAUUUGCCACUAAGCUUGGUGGGUUAAGUGCAGAAACUGAUGCUCUAGCUGAUGAGUUCAGUCAUUGUCUUGAUUCUUAGCCAUGGUGCCAUGUGAUUAUCUCUCUCAGUAGCUGUAUAGUGGGGACUUCUUUUUUUGUCAGAAUUAUUUGUGGUCCA